ensembl:lncRNA
AUCGGGAUGUAAACUCUCAGUAGCUGCUCCAUUGCCAUGCCUGCCUCUCUGCUGCCAUGCUCCCUGCCUUGGUGGUGAUGGGCUGUCAACACUCUGGAAUCAGGAACAGUCUGCUGCCAGACCCCAUAGGAAAAGAAGCACCCAUGCAGGCCUCUUGGAUAUGGCUGAAUGGAUGAUGGCUUUGGAUCAAGGCCAAGUCGAACUCCUUUGAAGCUUUGGAAGGCUAUGCAGCAGCUCAGUGACAUUCCUUCCAGAAUGUUGGUACCUCUAAACCUCUCAGUUACUGCUUUUGGGUUUGGCUGACAACAGGAAAGGUCCCUUUCCACAAAUUCCAAACCAGAUUUGGCAUUAUAAGCUUUUAUCUACAAACAGGGCGAUCACUAGCAGAAGAGAUACUGAAGGGUUGUAAGUUGUUCCAGGAAGUGGGGCUACAUAAGGUUGGAGGGAUGAGCCAGAGAACAGGCUUUCACAGAAACAUUUCAUGUUUAAAGGAUGUGUUUACCCCUUAGAUCAUGAAAACAAGAACUACAAAAUCAACUCAGGAGUUCACCACAACUCCCCACCCCUGUCCCAGACUUCAGUCCCAUCCAGGUGACUCACCCCUGCCCUCUGCUGUACUCCUGGGUCAGGGUCAGCUUUUCUUUAAGCUGAUGUGAAACAUUGGCUCCCAGGUCCUUGGGGAGAAACUGUGAAGUCUUUGGUAGCAGAACUGUGAUUCUUGAAGUUUUUCUAAUGAUCAUACAAAAGCAAAGGUUCCUAGUGGGGACCACAGAAUUUCAAAGUGAGAGGCUGUGAGGGUUGUGUCCUGAGGCCUGAUUUCAGGUCCCAGGCCUGGGCUUCCAUUCCUUUUAUCUCUAUAGGGAACAGCAGCAACAAGCAUUAGCAGUCACAGUGCUUUAACAGUCAUCCCAUGCCAUGUUCUACUGUCACUCCCGUCUCCGAGGUGAGGCACUGCCCCAAGUUCAGAUCACCAUCAACCUCUGCUUUCAGGGAUGUCACACCCAGCACCUUCUUGGUCUCAGGGUGGCCAGAGCCUCCAAAGAUUCCCCACCCACACAGGUCGCUGUUCAGCGCUACAAGCUUCAAGGGAUUAGAGUUGAUGCCAGGUUGUGGGAAGACCAGCAGCAAGUCAGAUGCCAGGGCCCAGGGGUGCAGAUGGAAAGCCUCUGAGGACCAGACAAGUCCAGGCAUCUCCCUAGUAGGAAAAGCAGAUCUGAGGAGCCCCAGGCAGUGGGUGGAGAUCUCAGAGGAAGCUGCCUCCAACCCCUGCAAUCACGGCUCUGACACCCUCUACUUUGUCUCUGGCACCACAGCUCUGAACCUCGUCUGUGCCUGCCUUGAAGUUCUGAGAUGCUCUCGGGGCCUUUUUCAGGAAUGUUUUGUUUUGUUUUCAUUUUAUUGUUCUUUUUUUUCCCUUUCAGAAACCAGCUCUGUCUAUGUAGUCCAGCUAACUUCAUAUUCCAGAUCCUCCUGCUUCAAUGUCCUGAGUGUUGGGAUUUUAUGUAUACACCACCACACACAGCUCCAGGAGUGGUUAUUGUUGGCAUUGGCUUGAUUUUGUUUUUAGAGACAGGUUUUCAUGUAGCCCAUUCUACAAACUCACCAAAGCCCAGGCUGCCCUUAACUCCUAAUCUUAUUUCCUUGGCUUCCUUAGUGCUGGAAUCACAAGCAAUGUUCCACCAUGCCCCACUCCCAGUAGUGUUUUUAUAUAAUUUUUAAUUUUACUCCAUUCAUUAUUUGUGUGUGUGUGUGGGGGCCUGUUCAGGUAUGAUGUGUCUGUGUAAGUACAUGUACACAUGUGCCAUAAUGCACAUUUUGGAGGCCUGGUGGGGGAUGUUCUUCUGUAUAUAUGUUUCUCUUAUUGGUUGAUGAAUAAAACACUGAUUGGCCAGUAGCCAUGCUGGAAAUAUAGGUGGGGCUACCAGAGAAGGAAGAUUCUGGAAAGAGGAAGGAAAAAGUGGGGAGAGAGAGAAGGCAGAGAGAGGCCACAGAGGAAUGCCGUGUAGUCACUGAAGGAAUAACAUGCUGGAGCCUUCUCCGGUAAAAUAAGACCACGUGGAAAUACUUAGAUGAAUAAAAAUGGGUUGAUAAUUAAGAGAGAGCUAUCCAGUAAGAAGCCUGAGUCAUUGACCAAAAGUUUAAUAUGUCUCUGUGUGCUUAUUUGGGGCUAAUCAGCUGAGGAACCAGAAACUUUAGUCAACAGAGGCCAGAUGACAACUUUGAAGACUCAAUUCUUCCCUUCCAUCUGAGUUCUGGGGAUCAAAUUCUGGUCAUCAGACUUGUACUGCAAGUGUUUUUACCCACUGAGCUUCCUUACCUAGCCCCAGGAAUGUUGUCUAAUGCAUAAAUAAAAUACAUAACAUUACAAAGGACACAAAACUACUGAAAUAUUAUUACCAAAAUGUCAAAUGGUGGAUUUGUGCCUGGAUGGUCCACAUGCUUCAACAAGAAGGUCUGCCCUCAUGUCUGAGCAGAAGCAUAAUUGAAGGCAGUGAUACCUGAAGCUUGCUCCUGCUUGUGAUUUCCAGCCAUGGCACAGUCACAGGCAGUAAGUGAAAGGUUCAGGCAUUAUGCUGGCCUGCCCCUGUUACCUGGUGGAACAGGCAGUACCCUGGUCAGCCCAAGGUUCCAUGGGAACUAAGUCUGCACGCAGGUGCAGAGGACCCCUUUAAAAGAUAGGCCCCCUGCACAUUUACACUCUCUGUUCCCUCUCUCUGUCCCCUCUCUCUGUUCCCCGCUCUGUUCCCGUUCUCUGUUCCCUCUCUCUGUUUCCCUCUCUCUGUUUCCCCACUCUGCUUUGUCUCUGCUUUCUCUCUACUCUGUCUCCCACCUAUGGCUCUCUCUGUCUGUCUAUGGCGACCGACCAUGGCGGUCAGCCAUUUACCCCUGUUCCUCUUCUUAGUCUCCCCAUUCUGCCGGGCCUUAUAAUAAACUUAUAGUCUUAUGUCUCAUGUCUCAGCAUUUCCCUUUUCUUCUUUUUAAACAAAAGAAUAACAUUAAACAAAAUAAUAACAGUAAGUACCACAGUGUGGGGUUUGUCAUCACAAUCACAGGCAGUAAGUAUCACAAUCUGAGGUUUUCCCAUGGAAGGAAAAACCAAAUCUCCAUUAAACUAAAGGUUAAUGGGAAGAAUGAUGUUAGUUUAUUUCUUUUUUUCUCAUCCAAAUUUAUGCUUACUGUGGUGGUUUGAAAGAAAAUGGCCCCCAAAGGCAGUGGCACUAUUAGGAGGUGUGGCCUUGUUGGAGGAAGUGUGUCCCUGUGGAGGUGGGCUUUGAGAUCUCAUAUAUGCUCAAUCCUUACCUAGUGUCUCAGACCACUUCCUAUUGCCUGUGAGUCAAGAUGUCCUAGCUCCUUCCCUAGCUCCAUGUCUGCCUGCAGGUUGCCUUAAUUCCCACCAUGAUGACAAUGGACUAAACCUCUGAACUGUGAUUACAGUUAAGAGAUUGCAUGAAUCUCUGAAGAGACUUUAAAUACAAUGAUAUUGUUACAAACUUUUGGGGGCCAGGGAGUGGAAAGAAAGAUAAAAGGUUAGAAAGAAAAAUGGCUUCUAAAGGAAGUGGCAUUAUUAGGAGGUGUGGCCUUGUUGGAGGAAGUAUGUCACUGUGGAGGUGGGCUUUGAGGUCUCAAGCCUUGCCUAGUGUCUCAGACUACUUCCUGUUUCCUGUGAGUCAAGACGUAAAAACUCUCAGCUCCUUCUCUAGCACCGUGUCUGUCUGCAUGUUGCCUUGCUUCCCACCAUGAGGAUAAUGGACAAAACCUGUGAACUGUUAACCAGCUCCAAUUAAAUGUCUGGCUCCUCUGUCACACAGUUUGUGCCUAUCAUAGCUCUAGUCACCAGACUCCUCUCCUAUUCCCUUCAGCUCUUGAUGUACCAAGUGUCUGGUCUUCCAUCACUAACCAUUGUCAGGGGCUCAGACAGAACUGGCCUUGGCCCUGAGCAGCCGCAGACCAAAGAAAAUGGAUGUUUACUCUCAGCCCCAGCUUCAUCAAGACAGUAGAAGCUAGGAGCCCGGGCAUUAGCAGUGCAUGAGAGAGAGUGUGUGUGGCAAGAAUCUCUUACAAGUGGUGGGUGCUGGGUGCCUAGAACUAGCCUAGAGCAGAAGGUGAGAUGCAAAUGACAAGCAGCAGGGUUUCUCUGUGUAGCCCUGGGUGUUCUGGAACUCACUUUGUAGACCAGGCUGGUCUCAGUCUCACAGAGAUCCACCUGCCUCUGCCUUUGCCUCCCAAGUGCUGGAAGGUGUGUGCCACUACCCAACCAAGCAGCAUUUUAAAAGCUCCCAGUGCCAACUAAAUCAGAGUCUCUGAUGAUGGACUCAGAUGCAGACAUUUUGAAAACCUCCAGGAAACCACCUGGAAAAUGUGCCAUUCAGACAACGUGGUCCUGGGGAACGGGAGUAUGUUGCCCCCUUUUCACAGCCUUGCAGAGGUGGAACUUGGACUCUGGAUAAGGCAAGUGUCUGGCACAACUAUGUAUUUCUUAAAGAGGUGGGAGGCCCCUGAGGCAGGUCUCAGUAUGGUUCUGCCUUGCUUUUUGACAGGGAUAAGUUUCAAGAAACCUGUAGAUAGGUGAUUUUCUGUGUUGCUAGCACAGCAAGGUACAUUCACAGAACAUCAACUGCACUGUGUUCAGCUGCCUCGGGGCAAGGCGCUCAGAGGUGUGUGGUUCUGUGUCACUACCUAGACCUUUGAGGCAUACAGCAGCAAAGCUAAAAUGCUACCUAAGGCCUGUCUUCAGGCAAGCAAUGGCUUAUGAGGGGCAGAGCGAUGGGCCCAAGGUGUGUGAAAUACGUGGUCACCCACAUGGCCAUCCAUAUGGUAGGGUUUUUUAUGCCUGCAUGCCUGUCUUUUGUUUGUUUGUUUUGUUUUGUUUUGUUUUUUUGAGACAGAGUUUCUCUGUGUAGCUUUGGAGCCUAUCCUGGCACUCGCUCUGGAGAUCAGGCUGGCCUCGAACUCACAGAGAUCCGCCUGCCUCUGCCUCCCGAGUGCUGGGAUUAAAGGCGUGAGCCACCAACGCCCGGUUCGCAUGCCUGUCUUAUGUGUGUGGUCAACUUUCAAGUAAAAGUUUGUUUUAGAUGCUUCACUCACAUGUGUUCUUGACCUUUUGUUUCCUAAUUCCUCAAGGACAGUGCCAGGCCUGAUGGGAAAAUAAAAUCUUCAGUGCUUUCAUCUUUGAGAUUUUGCUGUAAACUGGCAUGUGGACAAACACAGUAAAUGAUAAAUUCAGCUUCCAUGCAGCACUGUCCCAGGGCCAUGUGAGAUAAGCUAGGGCUGACGGCGUGGAGCCAGAGCAGACCCAGGUAUAUAGUUCUGUGGCAGAAUACUGGCUGAGAAUGUCUCUGGGAUUCCCUGUAGAUUUCCAUCCACUUCAUUUGUCUUUGAUACCUCUGCUCUGACGGCCAUCAGAAAUUACUCUAGACUGUCAUAAAUCAAAAUGGGCACUUCCUCCUUUUCUCUCCCUCACAUAAAUGCCUUACUCUGUAUGGAAUGACUUGGGUCAGCAGAAGUACAUUGAGAAAGCAUAGUAUUUUUUCCUCUGUUCCAGUACAGAACCAAAAGCAGUCAAUCUCUGUGUACAUAAGCCUCUGCAUAGGCCAUGGCGCUUUGUGCACAAACGAGGAAGUGGUGACGCCCUCAGGAAUGAGUUUCAUUUUUUAAAUCUGGUAACAUGCAGUCACUUCCAAUGGGCGGUGGGAUGUGAAAUGCAUGGCCACCCUACCCAUAUGGCACAUUUUUCUAUAUUCACAUGUUCAUCUUGGGUGUGUGGUCAAUUUACAAGUUAAAAAUUGAAUCGGGGACUUUACUUGUGUUUCUAUGACUUUGUGCUUUCUAACUCCUUUGUCUCAUUUUCUCUUACCCAUGUUUCUCUAUAGAAUGCUUGGCUGAGGGAAGAAAAGGCUACUUUCUGGGACAUGACUCAUUACCCCCUCCCAAAUUAGACACUGAGCUCACCUGGGCAGCUGUUGUGUCUGAUGGCAACCCGGGCUAUAGAAGUUUAAUGAAUGAAUGAUGUUAACCCAGGCUAUAGCUUAAUGAAUGAAUGCCACUCUUGGAAUGAUGUUGGAGUGUCCCAGACUAGACUCACUAGGACAGCACAGAUAGACUAAAUACUUCCAUCAUUGAUGGCAGGGCUGAGUACCGAGGCCAGCAACCUGGGCCAGGAAUAUGGGUACCAUUAGGAAGUGCUAUGGGUGUUCUGUGGGGACAGGAAACAGUCUCACAGGGUAUGUAGACUCUGUCACAUUCUCCAUGCCUCCUGGGAGUCAGAGGGAGUGCCGAAGAGUGUCAUGUGAGGGUGUGGGGAGUCAUCCAAAGGAGGAAAAAGCUAGAGGAAACUAAGAGAUUUCAGAUGUCUGGAGGCAUUAGCAAUCGGGGUCAUGCAUCUGGCUCCUUGUAUAGACCAGGCUGGGAACAGCAUCUACAGGCCCAGGAUAGGGAAGGAGGAAGAGAUGCACAGGUACCACAGCAAAAGGAAGCCAUAGAGGUUUUUGUUUCUAGCCCCUCCCCUGGGCCAUGAGGAGGAGGCUUCCAUUCUUAAAGGGUUUGCUAGAUUCAAGGUAAAGGAAGCCCCAG